AUAUAUUACAAAAUUUCAGCGCAUAUUUGAAAUUCAAAUGCACACCAGGUUCGAGAUGUUAUUUUUCAACUGUUCUCAACUGUCCCAAAUAAAGCCUCUCCCCUGGGGCCACAUGUGAGGUCGCAGGUCUCUCUGCCGACGCCGGGAAGGCUGUCCUUCCAGGAAGGGCUGCACAGCCCUGGGAACCGCCAGCCAGCUCACAAGAAUGAAGAGAAUGUCGGGAGAGGAAGUGGUGGCUGUGAGUCAGCAUGAGUCAUCUCGUUCCAAUGAGAAUGAAGACUGAGGUGUGUGCCUCUUUUCUUUCUUUCUUUCUUCCUUUUUUUUUUUCCGUCUCAAUGGUACAGACAUCAUUGGGAAUGGACGGAAAUAAGUGACUGUAGGGUCGUUGCUUUUUAAGUUCCAAACACAUUCCAGGCAGGCUGUGCCUGAGCCACUGUCUGUCCCCAGAGUGUCGCAGCGCUGUCCCCGGGAAGGUGGAGCUGUCAGCGUCUCCCCGAAUAACUGGGAGAUGAAACAGGAAGCUCUAUGACACACUUGAUCGAAAAUGACACAGACAAAAAAAAUCAGGACUCAGCCCCCUUCCAGCACCUCUACCUCCUGCCUGCUGCCCACAGCCGGGAUGCAGGUGACAGGCCUGCCCUGGGACUGCCUCUGACGGCCGUGGACUUCAAGGGCCUCUGCAUUUGCUGAGGAUGUGUCUGCGAUACUAUGGUCAUGAUCUAGCCUGGGUGGCUUCCUAUUUAUCUUGCUGUCUCUGUGUGUAUUAAUCUCUUUUUCUUCAUUAAAAGCUAAGCAAAAAAUAGAUAAA